rnacentral:rRNA from 1 species
GGAUAAGGAAAGUAAAAAAGGGCGCAUGGCGGAUGCCUUGGCUCUCGGAGGCGAUGAAGGACGUGAUAAGCUGCGAUAAGCUUUGGGGAGGUGCAAAUGACCUUUGAUCCAGAGAUUUCCGAAUGGGACAACCCAAUAUCUUGAAGAGGUAUUAUCUUACUAUGUAAGAGGCUAACGCAGGGAACUGAAACAUCUUAGUACCUGCAGGAAAAGAAAAUAAACAAUGAUUCCCCCAGUAGUGGCGAGCGAACGGGGAACAGCCCAAACCAUCCAUGUUACGGCAUGGGUGGGGUUGUAGGACUACGCCGUUGCAUGAAGACAUCAGAGAAGAACUUUCUGGAAAGAAAGACCAUAGAGCAUGACAGUUGCGUAUUCGAAUGUUGUCGAAGCAUAGUAGUAUCCUGAGUAGCGCGGAGCACGAGGAAUUCUGCGUGAAUCUGCCGGGACCAUCCGGUAAGGCUAAAUACUCCCGAGAGACCGAUAGCGAACCAGUACCGUGAGGGAAAGGUGAAAAGCACUUCGAACAGAAGAGUGAAAUAGUUCCUGAAACCGUGCGCCUACAAGCGGUCGGAGCUCGUUAAUGAGUGACGGCGUGCCUUUUGCAUAAUGAACCUACGAGUUGCCUUUGCCGGCAAGGUUAAGUGUGACGACACACGUAUCCGAAGCGAAAGCGAGUCUGAACAGGGCGUAUAGUCGGCAGUGGCAGACGCGAAACCAAGUGAUCUACCCUUGGCCAGGUUGAAGGCUGGGUAACACCAGCUGGAGGACCGCACCAAUAAGCGUUGAAAAGCUUCUGGAUGAGCUGAGGGUAGGGGUGAAAGGCUAAUCAAACUUGGAGAUAGCUCGUACUCCCCGAAAUGCAUUUAGGUGCAGCCUUGCGGGUUACUGAUGUGAGGUAGAGCGACUGAUAAGAUGCGAGGGCUUCACCGCCUAUCAAGUCUUGACAAACUCCGAAUGCGCAUCAGUUCUACCGCAGGAGUGAGGGCAUGGGUGCUAAGGUCCGUGCCCGAGAGGAGAAGAAUCCGGACCACCUGCUAAGGUCCCGAAAUGACAGCUAAGUUAAACUAACGAAGUCUGACUGCUAAGACAGCUAGGAUGUUGGCUUGGAAGCAGCCAUUCAUUUAAAGAGUGCGUAACAGCUCACUAGUCGAGGAGUCGGGCGUGGAUAAUAAUCGGGUAUCAAGUUGUCUACCGAAGCAGUGGGAUCAUUUAUAUGAUCGGUAGGGGAGCAUUCCAGUCAGCGUCGAAGGCGUACCGUGAGGUAUUCUGGAGCGUCUGGAAAAGCAAAUGUAGGUAUAAGUAACGAUAAAGGGGGCGGGAAACCCCCUCGCCGAAAGACUAAGGUUUCCUGAUCAACGCUAAUCGGAUCAGGGUCAGUCGGGUCCUAAGGCUCAGCCGAACGGCGAUGCCGAUGGCAGAAACGGUUAAUAUUCCGUUACUACCUUCAGGAGUGACGUGGAGACGCAGUAGUGACAGUGCCGCCAUCUGACGGAAUAGAUGGUUGAAGGGUGUAGGAGUCGAUCAUGGCAGGCAAAUCCACCAUGAGAUCCGAACCUGACAGUAUGCCGCGUCCUUCGGGACAAGGCAAUAGUGCGCGUAAGCAUGCUGCCGAGAAAAUCCGCUAAACUUAAUCCUGCAGGUACCCGUACCGCAAACGGACACACGUAGUCGGGAUGAAUAUUCUAAGGCGCUUGAGUGAUUCACGGUUAAGGAACUAGGCAAACUGACCCUGUAACUUCGGGAUAAAGGGUCCCUACCCUUUUAUGGGAGGGCGCAGAGAAUCGGUCCAGGCAACUGUUUAACAAAAACACAGGGCUGUGCCAAAUCGAAAGAUCCAGUAUACAGCCUGACACCUGCCCGGUGCUGGAAGGUUAAGAGGAGAUGUCAUCGAUAAGAGA